rnacentral:rRNA from 1 species
UGGAUCCAGACUUUGAUUAUGGCUCAGGAUGAACGCUAGCUACAGGCUUAACACAUGCAAGUCGAGGGGAAACGACAUCGAAAGCUUGCUUUUGAUGGGCGUCGACCGGCGCACGGGUGAGUAACGCGUAUCCAACCUGCCCAUCACUUGGGGAUAACCUUGCGAAAGUAAGACUAAUACCCAAUGAUAUCUCUAGAAGACAUCUGAAAGAGAUUAAAGAUUUAUCGGUGAUGGAUGGGGAUGCGUCUGAUUAGCUUGUUGGCGGGGUAACGGCCCACCAAGGCGACGAUCAGUAGGGGUUCUGAGAGGAAGGUCCCCCACAUUGGAACUGAGACACGGUCCAAACUCCUACGGGAGGCAGCAGUGAGGAAUAUUGGUCAAUGGGCGAGAGCCUGAACCAGCCAAGUAGCGUGCAGGAUGACGGCCCUAUGGGUUGUAAACUGCUUUUAUAAGGGAAUAAAGUGAGUCUCGUGAGACUUUUUGCAUGUACCUUAUGAAUAAGGACCGGCUAAUUCCGUGCCAGCAGCCGCGGUAAUACGGAAGG